AGAGUUUGAUCCUGGCUCAGGAUGAACGCUGGCGGCGUGCCUAAUACAUGCAAGUCGAGCGAACGGACGAGAAGCUUGCUUCUCUGAUGUUAGCGGCGGACGGGUGAGUAACACGUGGAUAACCUACCUAUAAGACUGGGAUAACUUCGGGAAACCGGAGCUAAUACCGGAUAAUAUUUUAAACCGCAUGGUUCAAAAGUGAAAGACGGUCUUGCUGUCACUUAUAGAUGGAUCCGCGCUGCAUUAGCUAGUUGGUAAGGUAACGGCUUACCAAGGCAACGAUGCAUAGCCGACCUGAGAGGGUGAUCGGCCACACUGGAACUGAGACACGGUCCAGACUCCUACGGGAGGCAGCAGUAGGGAAUCUUCCGCAAUGGGCGAAAGCCUGACGGAGCAACGCCGCGUGAGUGAUGAAGGUCUUCGGAUCGUAAAACUCUGUUAUUAGGGAAGAACAUAUGUGUAAGUAACUGUGCACAUCUUGACGGUACCUAAUCAGAAAGCCACGGCUAACUACGUGCCAGCAGCCGCGGUAAUACGUAGGUGGCAAGCGUUAUCCGGAAUUAUUGGGCGUAAAGCGCGCGUAGGCGGUUUUUUAAGUCUGAUGUGAAAGCCCACGGCUCAACCGUGGAGGGUCAUUGGAAACUGGAAAACUUGAGUGCAGAAGAGGAAAGUGGAAUUCCAUGUGUAGCGGUGAAAUGCGCAGAGAUAUGGAGGAACACCAGUGGCGAAGGCGACUUUCUGGUCUGUAACUGACGCUGAUGUGUGAAAGCGUGGGGAUCAAACAGGAUUAGAUACCCUGGUAGUCC
rnacentral:rRNA from 1 species